UCUUAUAAGGAGGAAGUAAGAGCUGGCACAGCCGUAAGGAAUACUCCAGAGAUUGAACGAGUGAAGAAAAACCAGCACAAUAUUAGUUCAUUCCAGUAUAAAGAGCCAACCUAUAAGGCCACUCCGGUAACCAUGACCCCAGAGAUAGAGAGAGUGCGGAGGAACCAGGAACAGCUGAGUGCGUUUAUUAUAAAGGCCAAUUGGGAAGGGCUACAGCUUUGAGCGUAACGCCCGAAAUGGAAAGAGUAAAGAAGAAUCAAGAAAAUAUCAGCUCGGUGAAAUACACUCAGGACCAUAAACAAAUGAAAGGUAGACCAUGUGUGAUCUUAGAUACACCUGCUUUGAGACAUGUAAAAGAAGCACAAAAUCAUGUUUCCAUGGUAGGAGGCAACGGAUCACUGUGUCCAUGACUAAAACAUACUAAGGAAUGGCAAGACUUGUGUUUGGAUGGCGUUCGCUCACUAUUAAUCUGAACAACUAACAAAACAUAGGAAUUUGAAUGAGCCCUUGGGGCAGGGUGUUAUAGUUACACUGCAAUGUAAUGAAAACUUUUUCUCUAAUAAAAUAAUUUCCCCCUC
rnacentral:lncRNA from 1 species